UAUUAAUUGUGGAACGAGGGUAACAAUAAAUGUGAUUUUUUUUACCUGCUUUCAUUUGAGAGUAAGGGUCGGUAACUGUGAGGAAUUACAAUGUAACGAUUUAUCAUUGAUAUACAUAACUACUUAUGUAAGGAAAUGUAGACUCUAUCCACCUCAAGGAAGGGGACCUGGUGAGGGUAGGAAAAUAAAAGAAAAGAAAACAGCACUGCAUUGAAAUACAAUAACAUGAAAGAAAAAAGAAGAGGAAAAAAAACAAAACAAAACAAAAAAACAAUAGCACCUCAAUCACUCGUCCGCACCAGUCACGUUGCAUCAUGGGAUUAUUUGACUUGCGUAGCAGUACGCCAUCCGGGUAUUUCUCGCCUACUGAGAAUUCGGAUACACUACACCUCUGACAUGGCCACUAUAUAGUAGGUAAGUAUGCGAUUUCAAUUUCAGUAGGCUUAGCCUACUGUCCACCACAGCACAACAAAGAAAAUAACAGACAAUUUCGAUUUUCCAGAAAUAAGUAAGUAGUAAAUGAUGAUGGGCCUUUUUUUAAAUUUUAUUAUUU
ensembl:lncRNA